AGUAAUGUCUGGGAAACUGCCUGAUGGAGGGGGGUAACUACUGGAAACGGUAGCUAAUACCGCAUAACGUCGCAAGACCAAAGAGGGGGACCUUCGGGCCUCAUGCCAUCAGAUGUGCCCAGAUGGGAUUAGCUAGUAGGUGGGGUAACGGCUCACCUAGGCGACGAUCCCUAGCUGGUCUGAGAGGAUGACCAGCCACACUGGAACUGAGACACGGUCCAG
rnacentral:rRNA from 1 species